AGAUUGAACGCUGGCGGCAGGCCUAACACAUGCAAGUCGAGCGGCAGCACGGGUACUUGUACCUGGUGGCGAGCGGCGGACGGGUGAGUAAUGCCUAGGAAUCUGCCUGAUAGUGGGGGAUAACGCUCGGAAACGGACGCUAAUACCGCAUACGUCCUACGGGAGAAAGCAGGGGACCUUCGGGCCUUGCGCUAUCAGAUGAGCCUAGGUCGGAUUAGCUAGUUGGUGGGGUAAUGGCUCACCAAGGCGACGAUCCGUAACUGGUCUGAGAGGAUGAUCAGUCACACUGGAACUGAGACACGGUCCAGACUCCUACGGGAGGCAGCAGUGGGAAUAUUGGACAAUGGGCGAAAGCCUGAUCCAGCCAUGCCGCGUGUGUGAAGAAGGUCUUCGGAUUGUAAAGCACUUUAAGUUGGAAGGAAGGCAGUUACCUAAUACGUAUCUGUUUUGACGUUACGACAGAAUAAGCACGGCUAACUC
rnacentral:rRNA from 1 species